rnacentral:rRNA from 1 species
AACUACGAAUAAUGAAUGGUCCAGGGUAGGCAAAAACUAAUAGCUCUUUUAUGAUUAUGUGAUAGGUGGUGCAUGGCCGUUCUUAGUUCGUGGAGUGAUCUGUCUGCUUAAUUGCGUUUCAAAACAACUGAUACACAGAGUCUUGGCACAGUUCAGUUUAAUGGCGUCGAGUAUCUUUGAUUUCGACAGUAGUCCAACUCGGUUCGCCAGGGUCUCUUUUGAACGCAACGGACGUGAUCGCAACCCUUUGUUGAGUGAUGUCAGCACUCUACGUCUAUCCUAGCUCGUUGAUCGCAAGUGAGAGUUGGGUGGGCAAACUCAGGGGACAGCUUCAACUAUUCUUCUUCAAACUAGAGGAAGGUUGCGGCAAUAACAGGUCUGUGAUGCCCUCAGAUGUUCUAGGCUGCACACGUGCUACAUUGAUCAGCACAAUGCGAUACAUUUCGAAAGGAAACAUCGGUUUUAAGGUAACGUCGAUUGCCUACCGAUAGCACCUGGUCCUCAGUGGACUGGGCAAUCUCUUCUAAAUGCUGG